UACCAGCACCCCGAGUGGUCGGGACGAUUAUUGGGCCUAAAGCAUCCGUAGCCGGUCAUGCAAGUCUUCCGUUAAAUCCAGCCGCUCAACGGUUGGGCUGCGGAGGAUACUACGUGGCUAGGAGGCGGGAGAGGCAAGCGGUACUCAGUGGGUAGGGGGUAAAAUCCUUUGAUCCAUUGAAGACCACCAGUGGCGAAGGCGGCUUGCCAGAACGCGCUCGACGGUGAGGGAUGAAAGCUGGGGGGAGCAAACCGG
rnacentral:rRNA from 1 species